rnacentral:rRNA from 1 species
GCGACGAUGCGUAGCCGACCUGAGAGGGUGAUCGGCCACAUUGGGACUGAGACACGGCCCGACUCCUACGGGAGGCAGCAGUGGGGAAUAUUGCACAAUGGGGGAAACCCUGAUGCAGCAACGCCGCGUGAGUGAUGACGGUCUUCGGAUUGUAAAAGCUCUGUCUUCAGGGACGAUAAUGACGGUACCUGAGGAGGAAGCCACGGCUAACUAGUGCCAGCAGCCGCGGGUAAUACGUUAGGUGGCAAGCGGUUGUCCGGCAUUACCUGGGCAGUACAAGGGAGCGUAGGUGGGAUAUUUAAGUGGGAGGUGACAAUACUCGGGCUUAACCUGGUGCUGGCAUCCAAACUGUGAUAUCUAGAGGUUGGCAGGAGAGGAAAGUAGAAUUCCUAGGUGUUAGCGGGGUGGAAGAAUGCGUAGAGAUUUAGGAAGUAAAUACCAGUGUGCCGAAGGCGACUGUCUGGACUGUAACUGGACACUGAGGCUCGAAAGCGUGGGAGCAAACAGGAUUAAGAUACCCUGGUAGUCCACCGCCGUAAACGGUAUGAAUACCUAGGUGUAGGGGUUGUCAUGACCUCUGUGCCUUCCGCUAACGCAUUUAAGUAUCCGCCUGGGUGAGUACGGUCGCAAGAUUAAAAACUCAAAGGAAUUGACGGGGGCCCCGCACAAGCAGCGGAGGAUGUGGUUUAAUUCGAAGCAACGCGAAGAACCUUACCUAGACUUGAACAUCUCCUGAAUUACCCUUAAUCGGGGAAGCCCUUCGGGUGCAGAGAAGGACAGGUGGUGCAUGGUUUGUCGUCAGCUCGUGUCGUGAGAUGUUUGGGUUAAGUCCCGCAACGAGCGCAACCCUUAUUGUUAGUUGCUACCAUUUAGUUGAGCACUCUAGCGAGGGACUGCCCGGGGUUAACCGGGAGGAAGGUGGGGAUGACGUUCAAAUCAUUUAUGCCCCUUAUGUCUAGGGCUACACACGUGCUACAAUGGCUGGUACAGAGAGAUGCUAAACCGUGAGGCGGAGCUAAACUUUUAAAACCAGUCUCAGUUUCGGAUUGUUAGGCUGAAACUCGCCUACAUGAAGCUGGAGUGCUAGUAAUCGCGAAUCAGAAUGUCGCGGUGAAUACGUUCCCGGGCCUUGUACACACCGCCCGUCACACCAUGAGAGUUGGCAAUACCCAAAGUUCGUGAGGCUAACGCGCAAGCGGGGCAGCGACCUAAAGUUAGGGUCAGCGAUUGGGGUGAAGUCGUAACAAGGUAGCCGUAGGAGAACCUGCGGCUGGAUCACCUCCUUC